CCUACGGGAGGCAGCAGUGGGGAAUAUUGGACAAUGGGGGGAACCCUGAUCCAGCCAUGCCGCGUGUGUGAAGAAGGCCUUUUGGUUGUAAAGCACUUUAAGCGAGGAGGAGGCUACCGAGAUUAAUACUCUUGGAUAGUGGACGUUACUCGCAGAAUAAGCACCGGCUAACUCUGUGCCAGCAGCCGCGGUAAUACAGAGGGUGCAAGCGUUAAUCGGAUUUACUGGGCGUAAAGCGCGCGUAGGUGGCCAAUUAAGUCAAAUGUGAAAUCCCCGAGCUUAACUUGGGAAUUGCAUUCGAUACUGGUUGGCUAGAGUAUGGGAGAGGAUGGUAGAAUUCCAGGUGUAGCGGUGAAAUGCGUAGAGAUCUGGAGGAAUACCGAUGGCGAAGGCAGCCAUCUGGCCUAAUACUGACACUGAGGUGCGAAAGCAUGGGGAGCAAACAGGAUUAGAUACCCGGGUAGUC
rnacentral:rRNA from 1 species